AUUAAAACCAAUUGUCAAAAUAACAAGCCAUGUCCUAACCUCACUUAAUGAUACAGGUGGUGAUUUAUCCGUCAUUAAUAAAAUAAAAAGAUGGCAGGUCAAUCAAAAAAAGAAACGCUCCAGGGAUAGUGAGGCCCUACAAAAUCUUAAAAUAAAAAGAGGGCAGGUCAAUCAAAAAAAGAAACGCUCCAGGGAUAGUGAGGCCCUACAAAAUCUACUAACAGCAAAAUAAACUUCAGAUGAUGUUCCCACUAUUUCUAGGGAGUUGAAUCUUAUAUGGACUCCUCUUCAGAUGGUGAUUUAUCCGUCAUUAAUGAAAGAAAAAGAUGGCAGGUCAAUCAACAAAAAGAAUAGCUAUAGGGAUUAAUCCCAGCAAAAUAUACUAACAACACAUAAUAAAGAUUCUUUACGCACUUCGGUCAACACCAAUUUUUAAAUAUCCCAUUCCUCUCCAAACUUACGAAAAAGGAAUAAAGGACUAAAAUAGUAAAUAUCAGAUUCAACCGCCUGGGCCCAAGCAACUCUUCCAACCAAAUUUGGUGGUCUCGGCAUCAGAUCUCCACAUGACUUAGCAAUAACUACUUUCAUAUCGAGUAGUCUUUUGACAAAGCCAAUAACCACCGCCCAUAAUUCUAAAGAAGACCUUUCCUUAAUCGUGGCUAUGGAUAUUUGGAAAACAAGGAUCAAUGCUGAUUCUCAUCCCCCCACAACCCAUAGACAGAAAGACUGGGAUGCACCAGUAGCUCACUGCGUUGAAACUCUCUUAUCUAGCAUGCAAUCUACCGACCGCACCCUAUUCUCUUCCCUGCUCAAUGGUACGGGACAUGAGUUUCUUGAGGCCAUCCCAUCUGCCAAUCUUCAGCUUCAACUAUCCAACAAUGAAUUUACCCACGCCAUCGGCAUUCGUCUAAAUUGUUCCAUCACUCACCCUCACAUCUGCUCAGGGUGCAACUCGCCAGUUGACUCGAAGGGUAGACAUAGUUUACAUUGUCGCUCCUGCAAUGGACGAUUCAUCAGACACAAGCAAUGUAAUACAAUCAUCCAACAUGCACUGAAAUCCGCCCAAAUUCCUUCCACUCUAGAACCACGGGGUCUUUUUAGAUCUGACUGUAAACGUCCUGACGGGAUCUCUCAAAUCCUAUGGAAGAGAGGCCAACUUUUGGUAUGGGACUAUUCCUGUAUUGAUCCCUUGGCCCCAUCCAACCACGCCAUCAACAUCCUUGACCAUUAAAACUUCUAAAUACACAAUGAACGAUCAUUGCUUCAUCCCAAUCAUAUCAACCACUCUUGGCACCUUCGGCAAACUCGCCUUAUCAUUUUUCAAAAACUUAGGAUCACAAAUCAGCAAACUCUCAGAAGAACCUCGAGAGGGUUUUUUUCUUCGUCAACGAUUAUCCAUAGCGAUUCUCAAAGCUAAUUAUAUCAGUUUCAAUGGUAGUCUUCUAGCCAAAGAGCUAUCCUAGACAACACUUACGUCCCUUUUUCAUUUUUGUUUCCCUGCGUCACACCAUCUCCGUUCUUUUUUUUAAUAGUAUUAUUAUAUAUU